rnacentral:ncRNA from 1 species
CCCUUUGUACACACCGCCCGUCGCUCCUACCGAUUGAGUGAUCCGGUGAGCUGUCCGGACUGCGAUUAGUUCAGUUUCUGUUCUCUUCGCGGGAAGUUCUGCAAACCUUAUCACUUAGAGGAAGGAGAAGUCGUAACAAGGUUUCCGUAGGUGAACCUGCGGAAGGAUCAUUC